CCUACGGGAGGCAGCAGUGGGGAAUUUUGGACAAUGGGCGCAAGCCUGAUCCAGCCAUGCCGCGUGCGGGAAGAAGGCCUUCGGGUUGUAAACCGCUUUUGUCAGGGAAGAAACGCUCUGGGUUAAUACCUCGGGGUAAUGACGGUACCUGAAGAAUAAGCACCGGCUAACUACGUGCCAGCAGCCGCGGUAAUACGUAGGGUGCAAGCGUUAAUCGGAAUUACUGGGCGUAAAGCGUGCGCAGGCGGUUAGAUAAGUUUGAUGUGAAAUCCCCGGGCUCAACCUGGGAACUGCAUUGAAGACUGUCUGACUAGAGUACGGCAGAGGGGGGUGGAAUUCCACGUGUAGCAGUGAAAUGCGUAGAGAUGUGGAGGAACACCGAUGGCGAAGGCAGCCCCCUGGGCCGAUACUGACGCUCAUGCACGAAAGCGUGGGGAGCAAACAGGAUUAGAUACCCUGGUAGUCCACGCCCUAAACGAUGUCAACUAGUUGUUGGUAGGGUUAAACCUAUUAGUAACGUAGCUAACGCGUGAAGUUGACCGCCUGGGGAGUACGGUCGCAAGAUUAAAACUCAAAGGAAUUGACGG
rnacentral:rRNA from 1 species